rnacentral:tRNA from 1 species
AGAGAGGUGGCCGAGUGGUCGAAGGCGCUCCCCUGCUAAGGGAGUAUGCGUUCAUAGCGCAUCGAGGGUUCGAAUCCCUUCCUCUCUGCCA